rnacentral:rRNA from 1 species
CAGGCCUAACACAUGCAAGUCGAACGAGGUAGCAAUACCUAGUGGCAGACGGGUGAGUAACACGUGGUCAACCUACCCUAAGGUGGGGGAUAACUAGCCGAAAGGUUAGCUAAUACCGCAUAUGUAUAGAAUCGCAUGAUUCGAAUACAAAAGGAGUAAUCCGCCUUUGGACGGGACCGCGUCCGAUUAGCUAGUUGGUGGGGUAACGGCUCACCAAGGCGACGAUCGGUAGCUGGUUUGAGAGAGCGACCAGCCACACUGGGACUGAGAAACGGCCCAGACUCCUACGGGAGGCAGCAGUGAGGAAUUUUCCGCAAUGGGCGAAAGCCUGACGGAGCGACGCCGCGUGUGGGAUGAAGGCCUUCGGGUCGUAAACCACUGUCGAGGGGGAAGAUAUUGACGGUACCCCUGGAGGAAGGCCCGGCUAACUACGUGCCAGCAGCCGCGGUAAU